AUUGAACGCUGGCGGCAGGCUUAACACAUGCAAGUCGAGCGGAGAUGAGGUGCUUGCACCUUAUCUUAGCGGCGGACGGGUGAGUAAUGCUUAGGAAUCUGCCUAUUAGUGGGGGACAACAUUCCGAAAGGAAUGCUAAUACCGCAUACGCCCUACGGGGGAAAGCAGGGGAUCUUCGGACCUUGCGCUAAUAGAUGAGGCUAAGUCGGAUUAGCUAGUUGGUGGGGUAAAGGCCUACCAAGGCGACGAUCUGUAGCGGGUCUGAGAGGAUGAUCCGCCACACUGGGACUGAGACACGGCCCAGACUCCUACGGGAGGUAGCAGUGGGGAAUAUUGGACAAUGGGCGGAAGCCUGAUCCAGCCAUGCCGCGUGUGUGAAGAAGGCCUUUUGGUUGUAAAGCACUUUAAGCGAGGAGGAGGCUACCUGGAUUAAUACUCUAGGAUAGUGGACGUUACUCGCAGAAUAAGCACCGGCUAACUCUGUGCCAGCCGCCGCGGUAAAAC
rnacentral:rRNA from 1 species